UCAAACUUGGUCAUUUAGAGGAAGUAAAAGUCGUAACAAGGUUUCCGUAGGUGAACCUGCGGAAGGAUCAUUAACGAGUUAGGGUCUCUCGAGGCCCGAUCUCCCAACCCUUUGUUUACUGAACCCAUCGUUGCUUCGGCGGGCCCGUCCUUCACCGGACCGCCGGAGGACCGUCGAGAGACGUCCUCUGGCCCGCGCCCGUCGGUGGCCAACCUUAAACUCUUGAAAUAAAUCGUGUCCUGUCUAAGUCACAUUUGACACAAAUAACAAAAGCAAAACUUUCAACAACGGAUCUCUUGGUUCUGGCAUCGAUGAAGAACGCAGC
rnacentral:misc_RNA from 1 species